CGAAUACAAGUAUAUAUCAUUUCAGUCAGCAUGGAACUACUGAGAGUUAUAAUUUGAAAUUUAAAUUUAAACAAUAGCUAUAUCAAUAGUAUCAUCUUGGUUUCAUUGGGAAACUAAGAUCUGUAACCAUAUUGUACCUUUUUAUUGCAUUGAAGUGUCCAAAAGCAUGUGUGGAAAAUAUGUGAUAAUAUCGCUUUAUGUACAGAGUGCAAAUGUGCUUUAGUUGAACAUGUAAAAAAAAGUAUCAUGUUGUAUAUGAAAGAUCCUAAGCAUCCAAUUUUUGCCAACUACAAAAAUCUUGAACGUACUCCUUGGAGGAUGAUCCUCCCUUCAUGUAUUUGAUGGGGACGUAAAUCCGUGAUAUUUAAUUCAUUUGCUCUCCUUCUAUAUCCCUGCAACAGAAAAGCACCAUUAGCAAAUUAAAUGCCAUCAUCUUGCUUGCAACUCUCAAAAUAUUCCUAAACUUUAAUUACUUUUCAAUCUAUAUCUACUAUUACAAUCCAUCCAACUCAUACUAAGUUGUUAUUCUUUGGAUUUUUUAAUGAAAAUAACAACUCCAAUUCUUGAAUUUUUUUUUGUGGGUUUUUGCUUCCAUUGGAAGCAUACCAGGUAACAUCUAGAAUUGAAGCUCAUUUCAACUUUGUUUCCUCUACUUCUAGCAGGUAAAAAUCCAGUUUCCUUCUUUUUCCUGCAAAUAUGAAAAGAAAAAUAUCAACCAAUGGUAAUCAGUUCUUUAAGUGCAUAUUAUCUGAUUUUAUCAUAUCCUGUAGCAGUACAUCCUAGCACCUAUUCCUGGCCUCCUAUAUAAUCUAUACACCAAGAAAUAGUACUACAAAACGAUAAACAGCUUGUGCAGGAUAAAAUUUAGAGAAAAAAAAACUUAAAAAGCUCAAACUUUUACCAUCAUCUGGAUCUUCUUGUUUAGAUGAGAAAAUUUCAAAUCCUUUACUAGAAUCACUGUUUUUUAUUUUGUAACCAGGUAGUUCUACUAUGUUUAGCUAAAUA
rnacentral:lncRNA from 1 species